UAGUUGCUUGCGUUUAUGGAACUUGGAAUGGAGCCAGUUGUUGGCUGGCUAGCCUUGCUCCUGCGGUUAUUUUCUUUUCGCAAUGAAGUAGCUAUUUAACGUUACCAAGUGAACAUCGGAAGAAUGGAGUUUUAGUCGUCAGGCAAGACAAAUGGCUAAAGCAUUAAGUUGUUGUGCCACCAUUCAGGUCUUCAGACAUGGGAGGGCUGCAAAUGGGAAUAACACGAUCCCCCUUCAAGCAUGCGGACUGAGUUAAUUGCAUCAACUCUUAAUUAAGGAAAGCAUGCGCAGUCAACUCCAUUGAAGGUGAUUCAACUCUAGUCAAUGUGUUUUGAAGACUAAGCAUGGAACUGCUGGGACUGGAUUGAUGGUUAAAUGGAAAGGUUAUUAAAGGAAAAAACAAAAUUUGGUGGACUGCUUGCAUUUCAGCAGGAAAGUAUCCAGGAAUACGUGUGUGUUUGACAUUCAAUAGAGUUGAAGCAUAGGAUUGUUUCUUUCUGGACUUGAGUGGGGAACUGAAUGUUACAUCCUGCAGAUUCACAACUCCAGGCCAGACUGUUUGGCUCAGCCGCCACCAGCUGUGUUCACAUGGCCCUUUGAUACAUCUAACCCCGGAGUGUCACUGCAUAAUCCUCUUGUCUUGCAAUGUCAGUGGUUUCUAAACAAAUGUACCACGUAAUGAAUUGAAUGUAUGGUCCCAACUGCAUAGACAGUGGAACUGUGUCAAGUGGUGAACAAUAAAAUAGAUUUUUGUAAA